AAUCAACGCUGGCGGCGUGCCUAACACAUGCAAGUCGCACGAGAAAGGGGAGCAAUCCCUGAGUAAAGUGGCGCACGGGUGAGUAACACGUGAAUCAUCUACCUCCGAGUGGGGAAUAACUGAGAGAAAUCUUAGCUAAUACCGCAUAACACUUACGAGUCAAAGCAGCAAUGCGCUUGGAGAGGAGUUCGCGGCCGAUUAGUUAGUUGGCGGGGUAAGGCCACCAAGACGAUGAUCGGUAUCCGGCCUGAGAGGGCGCACGGACACACUGGAACUGAAACACGGUCCAGACUCCUACGGGAGGCAGCAGUGGGGAGUUUUGCGCAAUGGGGGAAACCCUGACGCAGCAACGCCGCGUGGAGGAU
rnacentral:rRNA from 1 species